rnacentral:misc_RNA from 1 species
ACAAAGCUAUUAAAGUUUUCUGUUUACAUUGGUGACUUGGAAAGUAUUUCUCCCCACACCUGAAACAUGGCCUAGGAGAUCAUUUGUCAGUAACUAACUGCUGGCUAAUAGGUUUUGCUGUAAAAUGAUUGACUGAAAAGCACUGAUUGAGUGGCAAGUUUACUUCCAACAGAAUUAGACUUUUGGUUGCCACCAGAAUCAGCUAUUGGUGGUUUAGGAGCAUAUGGGCAAUUGGAAUUACACUGAGGAGAUUUGGUGGUAACAGGAGAAUAGAAACUGAACUGAGAAGAUCUUGAGUUACUAAUAUAGGUUCUGAAUGGGGUUUUAAUGUUUCUUUCAGCCUCCAAUAACUGUUCCUGCAACCUAGCUGCUUCAAAAGCAUCAGCUAAUGUUGCUGGUUUAAGCAUUCUCACCAUCAACCUUAUACCAUCCCUUAAUUCCCCAAUAAAUCCAGAAUAAAAAUAGGAUUCCGGCAAAUCUGGCAUUACCCUCUCCAUUUUCACCCUUAAAUCCUCAAAUUUAUCUUGGUACUCAUCAACACUCCCCUCUUGCCUUAUUUUCAUAUAUUCUUCCAAUAUCAUCCAACCCUUGCUUUCCAAACCUCUUACAUAAACUUUGCUCAAACUCUUCCCAAGCAACCUUUUUCCCGUUCUUACUCCAAUUAUGAAACCAAGCAUCAACUCUCCCUAUCAAAAACAGACUAGCCAUCUCCAUCAAUUGCUCUUUAGGAACCCUAUAAACUUCAAAAAAUUUCGCACACUUUCUUACCCAAGAUCUAGGAUCUUGGCAAUCAAAAGUGACCAAUUCCACCCUAGGCAACAGUUUGGAUCUGGCUUCCAAUCCAUUACAACUGUGGUAGAAGAAAUUUCUACCUCUUUUGAUUGAGUGU